GGCUCAAACAACCCUCCCGCAUCAGCCUCCCACGUAGCUGGGAUUACAGGUGAGUGCCACUGUGCCCUGCUUAGUGGGCCUUUUAAAUCGGAAGAUUCAAGUGUUCUUUGAGUUUGGAAAAGUUUUUCUGUAUUAUGUCCUCAAAUAUUUUUUCAAUUCUAUCUUUUAGGGUAGAGAGGUGGCUUCUGUUUCAGGGUUGGAUAUCAAUUUACCUUCUAUUUCUAUUCCUUUCUUGAUAGUUGCUUUAAUUGUUGUUUUUCCCCUCUGUUUUAACUUGAAUUACCUCAAGUAUUUCCCUGAUGUGUUCAUUUCAUUUUGGGGGCUGGGCUUUUUUGUGCCUUUGUUUUUUUUUCUCAUUUAUAGAAGGUGAUGAUUUCCUGGUCCUUAAUUGUUUCUUUAGCUGCCUGAUCUCUUCUUUCAUCUCAUUCUUUUUAUAGUUUGUUUCAACUUUGAGUUGCCUGGGUAUUUGUCCCCAAGGGUUACCAAAGAGGCCGAGGAACGUUCUUGCCCUUGACACUGUAGUAUAGCUUGGGGAGAGAGAACAAACACAGAAAAAGUUAAAUGACGAUCAACACUAUACGCUCAAGGUGUCCGUCCCAUCACGUGGCCUUGAGGAAAGAGCAGAAGUGCAGGAAGGACAAACCCACACCUGUGGGUGGGAUCUGCAGCCAGCCUGGGAUGAGGAAACUGAAGCUCAGAGGGAUGAACUGUCCUGCGAAGGUCCACGGCUAGUACAUAGAGGAGCGCAGAUGCAUGCAGUCCCUCCGACUCGGAUGUCUGUGUACCGUCCUGCCCCCUCCCACUGCAGCCUGCAUCACAGACUGGAGUUAAGAGUGCCACCGUAUUAGGUCUGUCCCAGAGGGAAAGGCCAAGGGGGAGGGUGUAGAGAACAGGAGAGCUUUGCUGUGAUGUGUAGGGUGGGGGUGUUGUGAGGGUAUAUAUUGGAGGUUGUGUAUGAUGGAAAGGCAGCAAGACACUGUCUUAUGCUUAAUUGGUCACUCCUUGGCUGGGGACUUCACUUCUCCCACCAAAGUCCCAACCCUUGCCUGCCAUACCCCACUCAGACUGAAGGCGUUGGAGUAGCUGGCCGUCUGUCUCUGUCCUCUCUGACUUUAACGUGGGGCUGGGACAGGCUGCUAGGCUCAGUGCCAGGAAGCAAGACAAGGGGCUUGCAGCAAGGGCUUAGGGUAUAAGCACGUUGGCAUCGGCUGAUGGAUUUAUAAGGGCUCUGCAAUUAGGACAACUCCUAAUUCAAAGAAAUGCAGAAUCUGCUCAAACCUUGCUUUGUAUAGCCUGUUGGAGGGACAUGUGCUAUGUGUGUGUGUGUUUAUAUAUAUAUAUACACAUACCAGAUAUUACAUUACUACAAUGAUAAUAUGAGGUAGCUAAUGCUUACAUAAUGCUUCCUAUGUAUCAGACACUAUUUUAAUUUCUCUAUGUAUUAUAAAAUUUAAUCCUCCUAGCGACCCUACAGUAUCUCCUUUUGUUAUCCCCAUUUUGUAGAAGAGGAGCCUGAGGGACAGAGAUGUUAAGUAAUCUAUUCCAGCUAGCUUGGGUGGUAAGAGACAGGCUUCAUAAAUGCAGCCAUGUGCUUUGUAAACCUUGUACCCGUGCCCUUAACCAUGCCAUUGGAUGGCCCUAUCAUCCCAGGCAUGGUGACAGGCAUCUCUGACUCCUGUCCCCAGUGGGACUGAUACUUCUUUCAGGUUCUGAGAUUGUUGAGGCUGGUGAGGCUUCUCAGUUAAAGUAAAAAAGAUUUUGGCUGGGUUUUAUUUAGACCAGAGUUUCCAUGGCUGUUUUGAACAAUCCAGUACUCAGCCUGCUGGCUCUCUGGUGUUUGCAACAAGAGCCAUUUCUAUUGAAAGACUAAGGAAAGAUGGUCCAGGUGAACCCUGGACAGAAGACAAAGGAGGUUAAAGGCAACAUCUUCCCCCCGCUGGCUUGAAAAUCGUCAUCUUUCUCCCCAGGAAUCAAUUUCUUUGCAUCCUGAAUGUUUAAAAAAAAGACUUGUGUCAUUAAAAAUAAAGUUUUUUUUUUAAAGGAAAAAAA